UUGCAAUCAGAAAUUUAUCACUUUUUCGUAUAAUAAACUCUAAUCUAGCAAUAGAGAUGAAAACAAACUCAAUCGAUUUUAAACUCGACCAGACAAGCAUUCAAUUCACAUAACAAUAUUAACGAUGAAUCAUAAACGAUAAAGUAUGGAGAGAAAACUAAUUUAUUGAACACAACCCAUGUUUGGAAAUCCAACUUAUUCCUUUAACCAAUGAUGAAAAUUAGGUACUCAUAUUCAUGGAGUUCAUAAUAAGGAGGAGAAAACCUAUCAUGUUUCUAAACCCUAAAAAUACAAGUAGGAGUAAAGAUAUAUGCCAUCCAACCCCUUUUUGUUGUGUGAAUAAGUUUUUUUUUAUAUCCUAACUUGUUCCAAAUCUCAAUCUCGACCGACUCUGCCGCUCUCCUCUUCCAUACGGCCCAUAAAUGAAGCUCAGUCAGAAGGUCCAUUACGUGAUAUGCUUGUCAGUUUUGUGACACUGACAAGCAACUCCAGUCCAACAACAACCUGUACUCGAGCCACAUCCAUCGCAUCACUGCUUCAAGCACACUCCAAUUUCAGUUCAACUCCAUUCCUAGCUGCAACUACACAGACUUCUAUUCACAGCUCAGUUCUGCAUUGAUCUGCUCAGUACCACCAGUAAACACUUCCACUGCUUAGUCAAAACCCAUUGUCACCUGCAACUUCAAUUCCACUAGCACUUCCCAACUGUAGUUCACUUUCCAUUCAAACCCAUUCCAACUUCAACUGCAACCUCUUCUUUCACCAGAAUCACCAACUCUUGCACUUGUUCUCCACCAUUCUCUCCUUCCUACAUCAGCCAUUGUUGCAGCUGCAGCAGGUCAUAUUCCUGCAGUCUAACCUCUACCAAAUCUCCACUAGCUUAAACUCCAGAACUGUCUCAUAGCAUCACCUUUAUAAUCUCCAGAGCCACUACCACCUGCAAUGCCAUCAACCUGCAAUAUCAGUCCACAACUCCACCUGCAAUCUCUCAGAACACCACCUUCACUUUCAGCUUAAGUCCAUAACCAUCUGCUCAUUAACCAACAGCUUCACCACCUGAGCCCUCUAAUCUCUGCUCUUGACUGCAGAAACCAGCACCAUCCGCAUCUGCAACAAGAACAACAACUUCUCACUGCCUUCUACAGCCUUGUAAUCUCCAUGGCAUCAGCAGUUCCAGUUCAACCCAGCAUUAGCAGACACAACCUCAAUCCUGUAAUCCAUCUUCUCCUUUCACAGCUCAGCAUCAACACCACUUUCAUCACAGCAGCAGUCUUAGUCAUUCUCCAUUUCAGCUCAAUUUCGAUCACCUGCAAAAGCAUUCUUUUCUUCGUUCGAGCCAUCCCAGUUCAAAUAGCAUCCCAACAUCUCUCAAUGAUUCAGCUGCUCAGCUGCAACUCAUUCUGUAACAGCAACCAGUUUGAUUUUAUUGCAUUACAGCUCAUACUAUCACAACCUACAAUUGCCUGCAUCUGUAGUUGCACCUCAAUCCCCUUGUGAGCAAGUACAUCCACCUGCAACUGUAUAUGAUUUCAUUUAUUUUAGUUCAAGCCACCAAAACUGCACCAUUUCCUGCAUUCUGCAGCUCAAAACCCAUUCAGUCCGAGUUCUCAAAUCGACACUUCCUGCAGUGCAUCCAUUCCCAGAAUCUACAUCUUCUUCGCAAUCCACCUGCUAACUCAGCUGCCAGUCUUGCAUUCAGUCUCUAGCCUCCAUCAGCUAACUCACUAACCUUGUAAUUCUUCUUCCCUGUAAUCUCAGCUAAACAGAAUCCCAAUACCAGCAAAACCAUCUUCAUAUUCACCAAAACCCCACUUAAUCCUUCCUAAUCCUUGAGCAGCAUCAACAAUUCUUCCUUGCAGAUCACCACUUCAAUUUCAUCUGCUAGACAACAAAUUAAAUCUUCACCACCAGCACUUUCUCAUCCACAAUUACCACCAGAGACUCGAUCUUGAGACAAACCCAUGUCUUAAUUCACCACACACCCAUCAUUUCAUCAUUCCUCAACUCCAAUUCGAACCAUCAGCUGCAGCUCAUUUCCUCCAUCUUGAACUCCAUCGAACCCAUUAACAAUUCUUCCUCAAAAUCGACAAGAACUUCAGCCGUUAAUCCCCUGAAUUUCAUCUUCAAUCCAUUCAAACACUAACUUUUCUGCUGUUCAACUACGAAUCUGAAAAACAGAUCCAUCUCUUCUUCGUUCGCUGACCUAGACUGAACAACAUCAUCUUCUCAAUUUCUCCCUGAGUUCUUCACAAAUUCUUCCAUCACAAGAACCAUCUCUCUCCCUGCAUCUCUCGAUCUCUUUCUAUGAUAAACAGUGGAGCCGCCAUCGGUUUACUCUCAUCUGAAUUUGAGAAGUAAAGUAAAUGAUUGAGAAAUAUCUCAAUUUUAGGGUCAUGUAGGAAACAAAACUGCUAGCGGCACCCAUAAAUAGGAUAAGGGAUGCCCAGUUAAUUUGUGGCUUGUCGGUUUCAAAGAACCUACUGCUUGUUUGCUUCCUUGUUCAACUGUCAGUUGCGGGGAACUGACAGUUCAUUCUUGCACAACCUAGCUGACUCCAAGUAUAGCUCGCCUGUGAAUUAAUCUUUUUGCUCUUUUCGCUCCAAAUGAAUGAUUUCUCCUUCUUUUGCUCCCAAGGAUUCCAUUGCACCUAAUAACUCAAAACUAAACAUAAGAGAUGCAAUUCACAAGGAUAAUAGCAAAGAAAGCAUAAAUACUAGAUAUAAAAUUAGGUGUUUUAUAACACCUAUCAAGGUACUUCCAAACAGACUUGUAAAAUAAGUUAUCCCGGUAAUGGCAGAAUGAGAAAACCAAAAUAGAAGAGCGGAAGAAACAAGAAGAACAUGAUGUGGUUAGAUUGAUGAAAGAGAAGGAUCAGACUGAGGUUGAGAUUUCAACUCUGAGACAAGAAUUGGAAAUAACCAAGAAGAACUAUGAACAACGUUCCUUACAAUUGGAAGAACAUGCGAAAGAAACUCAAGCUGAGUUCGAUCAAAAGUUGAAUAAACUCGAGUCUCUUUUGGCGGAGUCCAAAAGUAAGGAGACGCAACUAGAGGCAUAUUCUUUAUCCAAAGCUCAAAAGUGGAACAAGAAAGAACAAAAAUACCAGAGUUUCAUGGAUUUUCAGUUCCAAGCUCUCCAGAGGAAGUAUUUUUAGACACAACCGUUAAUACGAUCAGUUCUCGAUGGGUACAAUGUAUGCAUAUUUGCCUAUGGUCAAACUGGGUCAGGGGAAGACAUACACAAUGACUGGGCCUGAUGCAUCAUCCCGGAAGGACUGGGGUAUCAAUUACUGUGCGCUAAAUGAUCUUUUCCAAAUAUCUCAGAAUAGAAGAAGCUCUUUCUUAUAUGAAGUUGGUGUUCAAGUGGUUGAGAUUUAUAAUGGACAAGUCCAUGAUUUACUCCAAACGGGAGGUUCAUGAUAGACGCAUUUAUGUGUCUAUUUGUUCUCAUUUACAUGUAUUGUUAGUGCUCGUUUUUGUACUUAUUUGGUUAUUUUGCGCUUUUGUAGGUGUUUUUGGAAAAAUAAGCUUUUGCGGCGAAAUGAGCUCGAAAAAUGGUAUUUACACCCCGAGAGGAACUACCAGAAGCACCCCAGAAGUAUGUUGGAGACACCCCAUAAAUACCCCGGAGGAACCCCGAAAAAGUGCGGAAAACAUCCUAGAAGAAUUGCUAAAGGCACCCCUAAGUUGGAUAAGGGGAACCCCAUAUCAGGGCAUGUACUAAAGGGACUCUCGAAAUGGAUAAGGGGAGGUCAUCUACAUAAUUCAAAUACAAUUUUUGACGGGAAACUGGCAGUAGCGAGGAGCAAUUUUUGUGUGAGAAUCUUUGGGCAGUUUUAAAGAGAUUCAAUUGUGGAAUUCGAUUGGGCUGGACUUACUAGAGAAAAACAGGGUUUGUGUGUGCGUUUGGAUCGAACAUAUUGGGAUAGAAUGUCCGGGAGAAGUGAAUCAAAGUUCAACAGGGAUACGUAUUCUUUCUGUUUAUUUUCAAAGAUUUUGUGAAGAAUUUUGGGAGAGUUUUACGCUGGAUAAAGAUGUACCUAGUCUUGUUCAAGUCAGAGAAUAGUUUGGAUACGAGAGAAUAGCCACUAGUGGAAAAUGCAUUUUUAAAUACUUUCAAGUCUUCACGAAAACCACUGUUUCCGUGCAGCUGUAACUAUAGGUACUGUGAGCCACAGUUGUUUUACUAAACCUUCUCUCUGACACAGUUGUUUUUUU